rnacentral:rRNA from 1 species
CCUACGGGUGGCAGCAGUAGGGAAUCUUCCACAAUGGACGAAAGUCUGAUGGAGCAACGCCGCGUGUGUGAUGAAGGGUUUCGGCUCGUAAAACACUGUUGUAAGAGAAGAAUGACAUUGAGAGUAAAUGUUCAGUGUGUGACGGUAUCUUACCAGAAAGGAACGGCUAAAUAAGUGCCAGCAGCCGCGGUAAUACGUAUGGUCCAAGCGUUAUCCGGAUUUAUUGGGGGGAAAGCGAGAGCAGACGGGUAUUAUAGGCCGAAGUGAAAGCGCGUACGUUAACUGAUGAGGUGCUUUGGAAACUGGAUGACUUGAGUUCAGUAGAGGAGAGUGGAAUUCCAUGUGUAGCGGUGAAAUGCGUAGAUAUAUGGAAGAACACCAGUGGCGAAGGCGGCUCUCUGGACUGUAACUGACGUUGAGGCUCGAAAGUGUGUGUAGCAAACAGGAUUGGAUACCCGUGUAGUC